AAGUGGCUGAUCCAAAGUGUCGGCAUAGGGUUAGAGCCGCCGCGCAGGAUGUAUGGAGACGCGCCCAAGUGCCCUCCGGGUCUGCCUUUAUUU
rnacentral:sRNA from 1 species